UGUGUUUUUGGGUUUGAUCGGCCUAUCAAGGUGGCUGGGAUUUGGGUUUUUAUUGCCCCAUAUCACAGCCAGCUUUGAUAAGUUGACUGACCUUCAGUGCG
rnacentral:pre_miRNA from 1 species